AUACGGAGGGUGCAAGCGUUACUCGGAAUCACUGGGCGUAAAGCGCGCGCAGGCGGCUUGAUAAGUUGGAUGGGAAAGCCUACGGCUCAACCGUAGAACUGCAUCCAAAACUGUCAGGCUAGAGUGUGGGAGAGGAAGAUGGAAUUAGUUGUGUAGGGGUAAAAUCCGUAGAGAUAACUAGGAAUACCAAAAGCGAAGGCAAUCUUCUGGAACACUACUGACGCUGAGGCGCGAAGGCGUGGGGAGCAAACAGGAUUAGAAACCCUAGUAGUCC
rnacentral:rRNA from 1 species